UUUCCGGUUGAUCCUGCCGGACCUGACUGCUAUCGGAUUGAUACUAAGCCAUGCGAGUCUUUGCAGUAAUGCAAGGCAUACGGCUCAGUAACACGUAGUCAACUUACCCUAUGGACGAGGAUAAUCUCGGGAAACUGAGCAUAAUACUCGAUAGAUCAUAAUGCCUGGAAUGGUUUAUGGUUGAAAUGAUUCGUCGCCAUAGGAUGGGACUGCGGCCUAUCAGCUUGUUGGUGAGGUAAUGGCCCACCAAGGCGAUUACAGGUACGGGCUCUGAGAGGAGAAGCCCGGAGAUGGGUACUGAGACAAGGACCCAGGCCCUAUGGGGCGCAGCAGGCGAGAAAACUUUGCAAUGUGCGAAAGCACGACAAGGUUAAUCCGAGUGAUUUCUGCUAAAGAAAUCUUUUGCAAGUCAUAAAACCACUAGUGAAUAAGGGGUGGGCAAGUUCUGGUGUCAGCCGCCGCGGUAAAACCAGCACCUCAAGUGGUCAGGAGGAUUAUUGGGCCUAAAGCAUCCGUAGCCGGCUCUGUAAGUUUUCGGUUAAAUCCAUGUGCUCAACGCAUGGGCUGCCGAAAAUACUGCAUAGCUAGGGAGUGGGAGAGGUAGACGGUACUCGGUAGGAAGGGGUAAAAUCCUUUGAUCUAUCGAUGACCACCUGUGGCGAAGGCGGUCUACCAGAACACGUUCGACGGUGAGGGAUGAAAGCUGGGGGAGCAAACCGGAUUAGAUACCCGGGUAGUCCCAGCUGUAAACGAUGCAGACUCGAUGAUGCAUUGGCA
rnacentral:rRNA from 1 species